UUCGGUCGGGAACUCAAAGGAGACUGCCAGUGAUAAACUGGAGGAAGGUGGGGAUGACGUCAAGUCAUCAUGGCCCUUACGAGUAGGGCUACACACGUGCUACAAUGGCAUAUACAAAGAGAAGCGACCUCGCGAGAGCAAGCGGACCUCAUAAAGUAUGUCGUAGUCCGGAUUGGAGUCUGCAACUCGACUCCAUGAAGUCGGAAUCGCUAGUAAUCGUGGAUCAGAAUGCCACGGUGAAUACGUUCCCGGGCCUUGUACACACCGCCCGUCACACCAUGGGAGUGGGUUGCAAAAGAAGUAGGUAGCUUAACCUUCGGGAGGGCGCUUACCACUUUGUGAUUCAUGACUGGGGUGAAGUCGUAACAAGGUAACCGUAGGGGAACCUGCGGUUGGA
rnacentral:rRNA from 1 species